GAUGAACGCUAGCGGCAGGCUUAACACAUGCAAGUCGAGGGGCAGCAUAAAACAUAGCAAUAUGUUUGGUGGCGACCGGCGGACGGGUGCGUAACGCGUAUGCAACCUUCCCUAAACAGGGGGAUAAUCCGAAGAAAUUUGGUCUAAUACCCCAUAACAUCAGUCAUGGCAUCAUGAUUGGUUAAAAUUUUCGGAGGUUUAGGAUGGGCAUGCGUAGCAUUAGCUUGUUGGUGAGGUAACGGCUCACCAAGGCGACGAUGCUUAGGGGGACUGAGAGGUUAACCCCCCACACUGGUACUGAGACACGGACCAGACUCCUACGGGAGGCAGCAGUGAGGAAUAUUGGUCAAUGGACGGAAGUCUGAACCAGCCAUGCCGCGUGCAGGAUGACGGCUCUACGAGUUGUAAACUGCUUUUGUACGAGGGUAAAGUGGGCUACGUGUAGCUUUUUGAAAGUAUCGUACGAAUAAGGAUCGGCUAACUCCGUGCCAGCAGCCGCGGUAAUACGGAGGAUCCGAGCGUUAUCCGGAUUUAUUGGGUUUAAAGGGUGCGCAGACGGCGCAGUAAGUUAUAGGUGAAAUAUCGGUGCUUAACAUCGAAACUGCCUGUGAUACUGCUGUGCUCGAGACCAGUUGCGGAAGGCGGAAUGUGUGGUGUAGCGGUGAAAUGCUUAGAUAUCACACAGAACCCCGAUUGCGAAGGCAGCUUUCCAAGCUGGAUCUGACGUUGAGGCACGAAAGCGUGGGUAGCGAACAGGAUUAGAUACCCUGGUAGUCCACGCUGUAAACGAUGAUUACUCGUUGUCGGCGAUAUACAGUCGGUGACUAAGCGAAAGCGAUAAGUAAUCCACCUGGGGAGUACGUUCGCAAGAAUGAAACUCAAAUGAAUUGACGG
rnacentral:rRNA from 1 species